rnacentral:tRNA from 1 species
GGGCGCAUAGCUCAGGGGCAGAGCGUUGCAUUCACACUGCAAAGGUCCGUGGUUCAAAUCCACGUGUGCCCA